rnacentral:RNase_P_RNA from 1 species
GCGGAUGGCCGGACGGUCGCGGGCCUUUCACGGGUUCGAGGAAAGUCCGGGCUCCAUCAGGUGACGGUGCCGGGUAACGCCCGGCGGGGGCAACCCCAGGGAAAGCGCCACAGAGAACAGACCGCCCGCGUCCGCGCGGGUAAGGGUGAAACGGUGGGGUAAGAGCCCACCGGGGCGGCGGCAACGCGGCUCGCAUGGCAAGCCCCACCGGGAGCAAUGCCGAAUAGGGAUCGCGCGCCGCAAGGCAGGGCCGCCUGGCCCCAGCAGAUCCGGGUUGGCAGCUUGACGCCCGCAGCAAUGCGUGGCGCAGAUGAAUGACCGUCCACGGGCUUCGGCCCCGGACAGAACCCGGCUUACAGGCCAUCCGCGCAA